AUACGUAGGAUUCGAGCGUUGUCCGGAUUUACGGGGCGUAAAGGGUGCGUAGGCGGCGCGGUAAGUCUCAUGUGAAAUCUCCCGGCUUAACUGGGAGGGGUCAUGGGAAACUGCCAUGCUCGAGGGCAGCAGAGGAGAGCGGAAUUCCGGGAGUAGCGGUGAUAUGCGUAGAUACCCGGAGGAACACCCGUGGCGAAAGCGGCUCUCUGGACUGUACCUGACGCUAAGGCACGAAAGCGUGGGGAGCAAACCGGAUUAGAAACCCCGGUAGUCC
rnacentral:rRNA from 1 species